AAAGAUUAAGAUGUUUAAAAGAGAAAAAAAAUAACCUCAAGUUUUAUUAUUUGGUUUUUUAUUAUAUUAAAAGCAUUUUAAUCAGGCAAUUAGGUGGACUUGGUCAUAACAAUUGGGCAUGCUAGGCAGAUUUAGGCAGGCUGCAGAGCCCUGCACAUUUAACAAUCAGACGAUAAGGCUGAGAAGUGCCACACCCUAGUGGAGUCAUUCAUUCUCAUAUUUACCAACGUCUUUUAAUGAUUUGAGUUUCAAAUUUCUUAUCUGAGAUAACCCAUUACCCGGACACCUCAUCUAAUCCAAUGUUCAGCUUCAUGUAAUUAACA